AUGCGCAGCCGGGGAGUUAGCGGUGUCCUGUACCCGCAAUCCGCUAUAGCGGGGGUCAUAUUCUGGCUGAGGGUGUUUUAUUUGCAGAGCUGCCCUUUAUAAGUGGCGUUGAAGCCUGGGUCUUACGCAACAGGACUUUGUGAACCGUGUCAGGUCAGGAAUGGAGCAGCACUAAGCAGAGCUCCCUGUGUGCCGUAAGGGCGCCUGGGCCGAGUUAACUGUAAAGGUAACGUCUGUGAAUUGCAUUCGAAGCUGGAAUGCGCAU
rfam:Clostridiales bacterium CHKCI001 isolate CHKC1 genome assembly, contig: {contig20}